CCUACGGGAGGCAGCAGUGAGGAAUAUUGGUCAAUGGACGCAAGUCUGAACCAGCCAUGCCGCGUGCAGGAAGACGGCUCUAUGAGUUGUAAACUGCUUUUGUACGAGGGUAAACGCAGAUACGCGUAUCUGUCUGAAAGUAUCGUACGAAUAAGGAUCGGCUAACUCCGUUCCAGCAGCCGCGGUAAUCAGGAGGAUUCAAGCGUUAUCCGGAUUUAUUUGGUUUAAAGGGUGCGUAGGGGGUCGGAUAAGUUAGAGUUGAAAGCCCGAGGAUCAACUUCGGAAUUGCCUGUGAUACGGUUAGGCGAGAGAGUAGUUGAGGUAGGCGGAAUGUAUGGUGUAGCGGUGAAAUGCUUAGAGAUCAUACAGAACACCGAUUGCGAAGGCAGCUUACCAAGCUACUUCGGACGUUGAGGCACGAAAGCGUGGGGAGCAAACAGGAUUAGAUACCCUAGUAGUC
rnacentral:rRNA from 1 species